rnacentral:lncRNA from 13 species
AUUGGUCUCUACUCCCAAAUGCAGAGCCCAUGGGAUCCUUCUCACCAGUUCUUCUGAGUAUUUCUGCAGCUCUCCAGCCUCUGUCAGUUCAGCUGUGCUGUUGAAAAGUCCCCUUACUCAUUCUCCUGCAGCUGCCUUUACCUCUCCACGCCUGUCCCAUCCCCACCAAACAAUUAAGAAGUUCUUUGAAAAAUAAACAAUAAUAAAUAAGUUGGACAAUAUUCUUCCCUUGUUAACCCUCUAAUAGCUGCUAAUUGCUCUUAAACUAAAAUCCAUGGCCUUUUAAAAAUCACCUACGGGCCUUGCAUGACCGAGCUCCAGCACACUUCUCUCCCUUAACAUUGACCCCACUGGCCUUGGGCUUCUAGAACAUUCCAAACAUGUUCCCACCUGAGUGGCUUUGCUCUUGUUGGCCCCUCAUGCUGGACUGGUCCUCCCUUGGCUUGGUUAGUUCCAUUUCAAUGUCCAGGCAUCUGGGGAAAUGUUAUUUCCUCAGGGGACUUACCUGCCAACCUUGAAGAGUCACCUUCCUGUCACACUGUAGUGGCUUUAUUUUCUUUGUGCCACUUAUCCCCACAUUCAAUUCUGAUCUUGAGCUGCAUGGUUUGUUCACCGUCCCCUCCACUGGAAGAGAGCUUUUUGCAAGUUUCAUUUUGCAGUUGGAUAAAUAGGGUUAGAGAAGAGGAGGCCUUUCCAGAGUUAAGCAGCUAGGGAUAACAUCACCAAAUAUAGCAGAAAGUGACUCCUAAAAGGUGAGUUAAAUUAAUAGAAGCUUACUUCCCUUCUCUCAUAAAAGAAGUUGGCAUAAAGGCAGUCUAGGCAUGGUGUGGUGUUUCCAAGAUGAAGCUUCAAUAUUUCUUCUCCAGAAUCAUCAGACCACUUUCUAACCUUGAGUUUACUGCAUGGUUCUAGGAUGUCUGCUGGAAAGUCUGUCAUCACAUUCAAAUUCCAGUCAGACAGCAGGUGCAAGGUGGAUGAGGACAAAGAUCAUGUAUUCCCUCCCCUUUGCCACCUUCCUGAAAGUCAGUCACACAUGACGUUUCCCAAUUCAUUGGCCAAAACUAUCUCUUGACCACUCCUGGCUAUAAGGCAGCUGGCAAUGCCAUCAUUUCAGGGGUUUACAUGUGCUCUUCUAAAUAUUGGGGUCUGUUCUUAGGAGCAGAAGAGACUGGAUAUUGGGAAUCAAGAGCAGCCACUGCUCCGCUAGAGAGGAGCAGAAAGAUUCCUGGUGUAUCCUCAGACUGCUGUGCCCUAUGCCUGCUCACAGGGCAGAUGAGGACCAUUUAAGGGUAAAGACAGGACUAGACCCCAGCCUCCUGGUCACAUGACUCAGAGAUUUUCCAUAUCCUUUUAUUUUCUGUUGCAUGGAGUGGAAUAGGGGUCAGAGUCUGGGAUGUGGAUCUUUGUGUUAGUCAGACUUUUUCUGUGUGGGAGAGAUUGUACCUUAUCCACAGUCCAGAAGACACUGGGGAGACCCUGAAGCAGUUACUAUUGCUGGAAGUAAUGUGUUGAGACAGAAGUGGGGAUGGGAUGGUACUGGAGACUUACACACUCUCAAGUCGAGUGAUGAGAGGAAUAUCUGGUCUACACAGGAUCCUAAUAGAUCUUAACAGGCUGCAGCAACAAUAGGAGCAUAAUGAGGCAACACUGAACAGGAACUGAACAUGUUACACCCGAGCCCAAAAGAAAACCAACAAAAUGGACUGAUGUGACUUAGUAUCUGCAGCAUAAAAAUGACAGAAGCACCUCAGUAAUAUCAGCCAUAAUGUGCAAGGGAGAUAUUUUGAUCUCAGCCUGAAGGAGCAGAGAAUUUAGAUGAGGUGAGAGGUGUGCUUGGCCAUACACAGGCUAGACCACACCUGUCAUGGUGCCUAUAGUUCUGGGCUCUGUAUUUUAAAAUGAAAAGGACAGACCAAAGUUUUAAAAGAAGAGAAGCCAGGGUGGGACUGAAGAAUCCUCAGGCUGUAUAUUUAACAUUUUUAUCAGUCACUUGCUUAUCAAAUUUGUGGAUUACUCUAAUCUGACAGAGGUAGUAGAUACAGUGACAGAAUCAGUCAAGAACAAUGAGCCAAUGUCAGGUUAUGAAAUUGAAAACAGAUUAAGGUAUCUCAGUCCCAAAAAUGAUAAGUAUGUGAGGUGAUGCAUAUGUUAAUUAGCACUAUUUAGCCAUCUCAGAAAGUCUGCAUAUUUCAAACAACAUGCUGCACACAAUAAAUAUGUAUAAGAUCUGUGUCA